CUCAUGAACAAAAUACACAGCUGUAACAACUAUGAAAAUGUAAACAACAAAGAUCGGGCCCCGGUUCCGGACCCAGCGUACCCGCCCUACCAUGAGACGAUCACCUCCACCCGUCUCCCUCAUUUUGGCCACCAAAUGGCCUAUAUUAGCCCGUGUCGGCCAUAAUGCCCACUCUCCCCAGCAAUAUUAUUUUAGCCGGACAUGAUUUCUUUCAAUUGCUGUUUAGGAUCUCAUGCAAGCGGAUAAUUCAUUAACUUCACAGAAUUAAUUUUUUUUAUUUUUUUACAACACUGAAUGGAACAGGCGACGAAACACUACAAGGAUAUUGCUAGUCGCCGCAAAAGAAACGCGCAAUGAGGCACUUUAGAGGCAAUCGUUGCCCCGAUUUAGGAACAAUGGCCCGCACAAUUACUUAAAACUGGAGCUCUCUGGGGGUGGUAAGGGGCGAUAUAAAUGCGUAAAUUCAAAUUAGGCGCAGAUGCAUCACCGUUGGAGUUUUCCUCACCGUUCGCACUCUAAAGUGAAGCUCGGCGUAAGUGCCUAUGGAGUGCAAUUAGGAGUCUUCUUCUGACUCUGCCAGGGGCUCGAACGAGGAUGGG